rnacentral:lncRNA from 1 species
UCCGAUGAGUUAUCCCUAUGAAGUAUGCAUCAGUGUGUCCAACUAUCCAUGUCACAAUCAUAAUGUAACUUAUCAUUCAAAGUCUGGAUUUUAAUUAUAGCAUGUAAAUAUUGGGUAUAAAGAUAGAGAUAAAGUAAAGCUCUUUGUCUGCAGGUAGAUAGCGUGCAAAUUACUUGUGCUCUCAGUGUCCUGUGAACCCUUAAUAUACGUGGUUAUAAUCCAUCGGGUAGUGUCAACACUAUGCUAAACAUGCUCCUUACAAGAUUUGUAGGAUGG